rnacentral:rRNA from 1 species
ACGAACGCUGGCGGCAUGCCUAAUACAUGCAAGUCGAACGAGAUCUUCGGAUCUAGUGGCGCACGGGUGCGUAACGCGUGGGAAUCUGCCCUUGGGUUCGGAAUAACAGUUGGAAACGACUGCUAAUAUCGGAUGAUGACGUAAGUCCAAAGAUUUAUCGCCCAGGGAUGAGCCCGCGUAGGAUUAGCUAGUUGGUGGGGUAAAGGCCUACCAAGGCGACGAUCCUUAGCUGGUCUGAGAGGAUGAUCAGCCACACUGGGACUGAGACACGGCCCAGACUCCUACGGGAGGCAGCAGUAGGGAAUAUUGGACAAUGGGGGCAACCCUGAUCCAGCAAUGCCGCGUGAGUGAUGAAGGCCUUAGGGUUGUAAAGCUCUUUCGGGUGUGAAAAUGAUGAUGGUAACACCAGAAGAAGCCCCGGCUAACUCCGU